UCUACUUGAUUGCAGGGGGAUACCUGGUCGCACUGGGGAUGUUGUUCAUACUCUUCAGGAUACCGACCACCCUUUCGGCUGUACCCGUCGUUGCCGGCGUGAUCAUCUUUAUUUUUCCGGAACUGAUCCCGGCUACGUUUGCCGUUUUUUUAGGUCUAUUUGGCUUGAUGCUCUUAUUCGCCUUUCAAUUUGCAGUGACAGGCGUUAUUACUCUGUUCAUUGCUGCCCUUAUCAUCAUCAAUCCCGAUUCGGUAGCGUACCUGAUUG
rnacentral:misc_RNA from 1 species